CCUACGGGUGGCAGCAGUGAGGAAUAUUGGUCAAUGGACGAGAGUCUGAACCAGCCAAGUAGCGUGAAGGAUGACUGCCCUCUGGGUUGUAAACUUCUUUUAUAUGGGAAUAAAAUGUUCAACGUGUGGGCUUUUGUAUGUACCAUAUGAAUAAGGAUCGGCUAACUCCGUGCAAGCAGCCGCGGUAAUACGGAGGAUCCGAGCGUUAUCCGGCUUUAUUGGGUUGAAAGGGAGCGUAGGUGGAUUGUUAAGUCAGUUGUGAAAGUUUGCGGCUCAACCGUAAGAUUGCAGUUGAAACUGGCAGUCUUGAGUACAGUAGAGGUGGGCGGAAUUCGAGGUGUAGCGGUGAAAUGCGUAGAUAUCACGAAGAACUCCGAUUGCGAAGGCAGCUCACUGGACUGCAACUGACACUGAGGCUCGAAAGUGUGGGUAUCAAACAGGAUUAGAUACCCUUGUAGUC
rnacentral:rRNA from 1 species